UUGAAAACCAAUAUGCAAAGAUCAAAACAUAAAAUAGACUAUACAAAAUAAAACUGACAAACAAGUACGACUUUUACUCCAUAUGUGAUCGCAGAAAAUGUCUGCAAUUUCAUUUUCUUAGUAUCAAGUAUGAACUACAUAUGAUGCUUCAAUCCACAAUAUGACUGUUCAGAUAUUUCUUCAAAGAAACACACUUCACAUGGACUAAUACAAAAAUAACAGCAGAUCGAGACUCUGUUAUGUCUUGUGUUGUAUGUGUCGUGAUGCAUUCCUCCUCAUGCAGCAUAUCAUUAUUUCAUGGAAAUAUGAGAAAGUGGAGAAGUACUGUCUUUUUAAGAAAAAUAGUUUGACACCUUACUUAUAUUAUUGACCAUGCUGAGGUGGCAAGUUGCUUUUCUAACAAUGCAACUCGAGGAAUAUUAAUCUUAUGUUAUGCAUGAAGUGAGUAGAGCUUCAUGGAGAUCGUGUUGGCUAUGAUGAUCCAACCAUGGUGACUUACAUUGGGCGCAUUGAAGGUAGAAUUUAUCUUUUCAUUGGUCAUCAGAAAGGUAGAAACACAAACGAAAAACAUCAUGUAAAACUUUGCAAUGCCAACCCCUCAUGGUCAUGCUUCAACUAUUAUCAUUCAUAGCAAUAUUACUAAUUACUAUCAUUAAGCAUUCCAAGUAAUCUGUUCUGUGGUUAAUAACAAGUUAAAUUGAAUUGAUGUUUUCAUUAAUUCAAAGUGAAAUUAGAUUAGCAACAAGUUAGGCUGAAGUUGUUGCUCAUAAGCCUCUGAACAUGUUCACAGUUAUCAGAUUUUUGGAGAGUCUAUGCAGCGUUCAGGUUUUUGAAAGGAAUAUUGUUUAAUUUGAUACCUCAAGGUUAGUUUUGUAAAAAGAUGAAUUGAUAACUACUAAAUUUUCGCCGUGCAGCUACAGAAAGGCUUUGAGAAUGAUGAAAUGUGCUGAUCAUUGUGUCUUGUUACAUUUGUUGACACUCCAGGGGCUUUUGCUUAUUUAAGAUCUGAAGAGCUGGCAUGUUUGGGCUGAAAGUUCCAAUCAUAACAGUUGUAACUAAUGAAGGAGGUUCAGGCAGAACUCUUGCCAUCGGAUGUGAUUAAUGUUCAACAUUUUAUGUUACUAGUCUUGUAGCCUGUGCUUCUAUAUUAUGGAAGUCUUCACAAGCAGCUCCAACCUCCAAAGGUAUUGUUGUGAAUAAAAUGGUUUCUGACUGAAUAGGCAGCUAAGAGCUCAAGAACAUUACAGACUUUGGAUAGCAGAGGCAAUUAUUCCAGUUAAUAGUGUGAACGAAACAAUGUUUAGCUGGACUUUUAGAAGACGGAAAAAAGAUGCAAAACAUAAGAUUGUCGCCCCUUUAUCACUUAUGUUGACAAAGUUUUUGAUGAAGUAGAGAAGAAUUUUCCUCAUCCCUUAUUUAUUUUUUGUGCACUCACAAGUUUCUUGCUUCUUACAUGUAUAGAA